GGCCAUAUUUUGAACACUGAUUUUCAUACGAUCACCUAAGUUAAGCAACACUGAGCUUGGUCAGGACCUCGAUGAGUGACCGCUUGAGAAUACCAGGUGCUGUAAG